rnacentral:rRNA from 1 species
GUGCCAGCCGCCGCGGUAACACGGAGGGUGCAAGCGUUAAUCGGAAUCACUGGGCGUAAAGGGCACGCAGGCGGCCCGUCAAGUGGGAUGUGAAAGCCCCGGGCUCAACCUGGGAAUGGCAUUCCAAACUGGCGGGCUCGAGUCCGGGAGAGGGAGGCAGAAUUCCCCGUGUAGCGGUGAAAUGCGUAGAUAUGGGGAGGAAUACCGGUGGCGAAGGCGGCCUCCUGGCCCGGUACUGACGCUGAGGUGCGAAAGCGUGGGCAGCGAACGGGAUUAGAUACCCCGGUAGUCC